rnacentral:lncRNA from 1 species
AAUCUGGUCAUUUUAUUUAUGUUUUUUAGUAGGUGGUCCAAUAAUCAAAAUCAUCUCUUCUAUUUUCCAGUCUAUAGAAAAACACCAUCUCCUGAACCAGAGGAAUUGCCAGUGGAAGACUGCUUGUAUUUGAACUGGAAUGAGGAAGAAGAAGAGACAGAAGAUUCCUCAGUCAAUCCGCUGCCACAACCAGAAGAGAAACCCCCGAAAAUUCCACUCAUGCCUCCAAUUCCUGUACCUCGCAAAUUGCUUCCCUCCUCUGCUUCAACCUCAAAACUAGAUUUGAAGGUGAAAGGCGUUACAGACCCUGAUAAUCAGAGUAGGUUCAAUUUUAGUCUUUUACCUACCUCAGUGAAGUCUGAAUGCAUUUGCAUUCA